CCACACAGGAAGAUCACACCAUCCCUCACCAUCAUCAGGGUAAUGAACUGAAAGACAUCAAAGCCGGGAUUAAAGAGGAAGAAGACGAAUCAUUAAUAAGUGGAGAUCAGCAGUCUAUGGAGGAGGGAUGUCCUCUGUAUUCCCAGAAUUCCACACAGGAAGGUCACACCAUCCGUCACCAUCAUCAGGUAGAUGGAAAGAACACAAAAGUGACUCUAGAUUGUAUGAAAUUACCCUCUUCUUUCAACCUAUUUUCUGUCACAUUUUUUUUUCUCCUUUGUUGGUUUAGCAUGGAGAACAGUUGUAUGUGAACGAUGAGGUUAAAAAUGAAGAAGAGGAGAUGGCUGUGAUGGGUUAUCAGGAGUGUACAGAGAAAGUUGGGAUGAUGAUAACUAAAAAGGAGGAACCUUUUCUAGAUAGCACAUAUGGAUCCAGUAAUGGGAACCCACCAGAGAGAUGUCCCCGUC